GGACGAACGCUUGCGGCGUGCCUAAGAAAUGCAAGUCGAGCGAAGUCCAGGGUGCUUGCACCCGAAGACUUAGCGGCGAACGGUCGCGUAACACGUAAGCAACCUGCCCUAAAGACGGGGAUAGCCCACCGAAAGGUGGAUUAAUACCGGAUGUGAACAAUUUUUCGCAUGUUAGAUUGUUUAAAGCAGCGAUGCGCUUUAGGAUGGGCUUGCGGCCUAUCAGUUAGUUGGUGUGGUAACGGCUCACCAAGACGACGACGGGUAGCCGGUCUGAGAGGAUGACCGGCCGGAUCGGGACUGAGAUACGGCCCGGACUCCUACGGGGGGCAGCAAUUAGGAAUCUUGCGCAAUGGGCGAAAGCCUGACGCAGCGACGCCGCGUGACUGAUGAAGUCCUUCGGGAUGUAAAAGUCUUUUCUCGGUGAAGAAGGAUGUGACUGUAGCCGAGGAAGUAAGCUCCGGCUAACUACGUGCC
rnacentral:rRNA from 1 species